GUUGGCCCUGCCUUCUCCUCAUCGCCGGGCAACGGGACACAGCCUCUCGCUUUCCACCAUAAGCUGACACAGGAAGCAGACCCUCACCAGAUGCCAGUAUCUUGAUGUUGGACUUUCCAGCCUUCAAAACUAAUCCUUAGGACAACAGGAUGGCAGAGUACCCAAGAGUCACGGCAAUGAAUGCCAGGGCAGCUCUGUGCCAGUCAUCACUGAUAGGAGUCAGAAGAUGCCGGCUCUGAAGCUGGGGUGGGCAGUAUUUCUGAAAGGACGAUUCUGGACUGGCACAAGCCUGAUCAAACUUCCACACACCUGUCCAUUCCUUGCAGUUUUCUACUUAGGCCAGCAGAUGGCAGCAAGUAUCGGCUGAACUAGGAAACCAACUUCGAACACCUUCAGAGUUGAGGUUCUUUUUGAUGCAUUUUCUUUGAUUUGUGCCAAUAAAAACAAUAAAAGUAAUUUACAUUUGCUUCA